GAUGAACGCUAGCUACAGGCUUAACACAUGCAAGUCGAGGGGUAACGAGAGGAAAGCUUGCUUUCCUUGUCGACGACCGGCGCACGGGUGAGUAACGCGUAUCCAACCUGCCCCCAACCAGGGAAUAACCUUGCGAAAGUAAGACUAAUACCCUAUAAUUUCCUCAGAUGACAUCUGACGAGGAAUAGAGAUUUCUCGGUUGUGGAUGGGGAUGCGUCUGAUUAGCUUGUUGGCGGGGUAACGGCCCACCAAGGCAACGAUCAGUAGGGGUUCUGAGAGGAAGGUCCCCCACAUUGGAACUGAGACACGGUCCAAACUCCUACGGGAGGCAGCAGUGAGGAAUAUUGGUCAAUGGGCGGAAGCCUGAACCAGCCAAGUAGCGUGCAGGAUGACGGCCCUAUGGGUUGUAAACUGCUUUUAUACAGGAAUAAAGUUAGCCACGUGUGGUUAUUUGUAGGUACUGUAUGAAUAAGGACCGGCUAAUUCCGUGCCAGCAGCCGCGGUAA
rnacentral:rRNA from 1 species